GGCCUGUUGAUUAUAAUUUAAGGUCUGACCUGCCCACUGAGUAGUUAAAGGGCCGCGGUAAUUUGACCGUGCAAAGGUAGCAUAAUCAUUAGUUUUUUAAUUGAAAGCUUGUAUGAAAGGUUUGAUGAGAAAAUAUCUGUCUCUGUGAAAAUUUAUUAGAAUUUUAUUUUUAAGUUAAAAAGCUUAAAUUUAUAUAGAAGACGAGAAGACCCUAUAGAGUUUUAUAUUUUUAUAAAGAAGUUAAUUUUAUGGGAUUUUAUAUUUUUCUAUUUAUUAAAAUAUUUUGUUGGGGUGAUGAAAAAAUUAAAUAAACUUUUUUUUUAUAUUAACACUUAUUUGUGAAUAUUUGAUCUUGAAGUUUAGAUUAUAAGAUAAAAUUACCUUAGGGAUAACAGCGUAAUUUUUUUUAGAGUUCUUAUCGAAGAAAAAGAUUGCGACCUCGAUGUUGGAUUAAAAUGAAUUAUUGGUGUAGAAGCUAAUAUAUUAGGUCUGUUCGACCUUUAAAAUUUUACAUGAUCUGAGUUUAAACCGGCGUGAG
rnacentral:rRNA from 1 species